GUGUCAGACCGUAGCGGAUCUAUCUGACUUACUAUCGGUAAUGACGUUAGGAAAGCGAGCGGCGGAUGGGUGAGUAACACGUGGGGAACCUGCCCCAUAGUCUGGGAUACCACUUGGAAACAGGUGCUAUAACCGGAUAAGAAAGCAGAUCGCAUGAUCAGCUUUUAAAAGGCGGCGUAAGCUGUCGCUAUGGGAUGGCCCCGCGGUGCAUUAGCUAGUUGGUAAGGUAAAGGCUUACCAAGGCGAUGAUGCAUAGCCGAGUUGAGAGACUGAUCGGCCACAUUGGGACUGAGACACGGCCCAAACUCCUACGGGAGGCAGCAGUAGGGAAUCUUCCACAAUGGACGCAAGUCUGAUGGAGCAACGCCGCGUGAGUGAAGAAGGUUUUCGGAUCGUAAAGCUCUGUUGUUGGUGAAGAAGGAUAGAGGUAGUAACUGGCCUUUAUUUGACGGUAAUCAACCAGAAAGUCACGGCUAACUACGUGCCAGCAGCCGCGGUAAUACGUAGGUGGCAAGCGUUGUCCGGAUUUAUUGGGCGUAAAGCGAGCGCAGGCGGAAGAAUAAGUCUGAUGUGAAAGCCCUCGGCUUAACCGAGGAACUGCAUCGGAAACUGUUUUUCUUGAGUGCAGAAGAGGAGAGUCGAACUGCCAUGU
rnacentral:rRNA from 1 species